GACGAACGCUGGCGGCGCGCCUAACACAUGCAAGUCGAACGAGCGAGAGAGAGCUUGCUUUCUUGAGCGAGUGGCGAACGGGUGAGUAACGCGUGAGGAACCUGCCUCAAAGAGGGGGACAACAGUUGGAAACGACUGCUAAUACCGCAUAAGCCCACGGUGCCGCAUGGCACAGAGGGAAAAGGAGCAAUCCGCUUUGAGAUGGCCUCGCGUCCGAUUAGCUAGUUGGUGAGGUAACGGCCCACCAAGGCGACGAUCGGUAGCCGGACUGAGAGGUUGAACGGCCACAUUGGGACUGAGGCACGGCCCAGACUCCUACGGGAGGCAGCAGUGGGGAAUAUUGCACAAUGGGGGAAACCCUGAUGCAGCGACGCCGCGUGGAGGAAGAAGGUCUUCGGAUUGUAAACUCCUGUUGUUGGGGAAGAUAAUGACGGUACCCAACAAGGAAGUGACGGCUAACUACGUG
rnacentral:rRNA from 1 species